AAGCGGAUGCGGAUCGGGCAGCACCCGUUUGCCGGAAGAGUUCGGCGGAGGGCGGUGCCCUUCGAUGGAGCGAGUUGCCGCCAGGCGGCCGGGAAACCGAAUCCGCUCGGGACGCCUGCGAUUCGGCUCCCCGGCCCGCCAUUGUCGCAUUCGCGCAGCGAAGAACGGCCAGUCUGGUCCGGCCUGUAAACAAGUGCAAAA
rnacentral:sRNA from 1 species